UUUGCUGGCUGUGGCAACACACCACCAAAAUCUGAAGGAUACAAAGAUUAGCAUGGCUGGAGAAGGAUCACACACAGCUUUGGGAAACAUUCCAUAGAUUU
rnacentral:snRNA from 1 species